GUAGUCAUAUGCUUGUCUCAAAGAUUAAGCCAUGCAUGUCUAAGUAUAAACAAAUUUGUACUGUGAAACUGCGAAUGGCUCAUUAAAUCAGUUAUAGUUUAUUUGAUGUUAUCUUGCUACAUGGAUAACUGUGGUAAUUCUAGAGCUAAUACAUGCAAUCAAGCCCCAACUUCCGGGAGGGGUGUAUUUAUUAGAUAAAAAACCAACGCGGCUCGCCGCUCCCUUGGUGAUUCAUAAUAACUUCUCGAAUCGCAUGGCCUUGUGCCGGCGAUGCUUCAUUCAAAUAUCUGCCCUAUCAACUUCCGAUGGUAGGAUAGAGGCCUACCAUGGUUUCAACGGGUAACGGGGAAUA
rnacentral:rRNA from 1 species